rnacentral:rRNA from 1 species
UUCGGGGAUGAUUGUUCUGUGACUGAGUGGCGGACGGGUGAGUAACGCGUGGAUAACCUGCCUCACACAGGGGGAUAACAGUCGGAAACGACUGCUAAUACCGCAUAAGCGCACAGCACCGCAUGGUGCAGUGUGAAAAACUCCGGUGGUAUGAGAUGGACCCGCGUCUGAUUAGCUAGUUGGUGGGGUAACGGCCUACCAAGGCGACGAUCAGUAGCCGACCUGAGAGGGUGACCGGCCACAUUGGGACUGAGACACGGCCCAAACUCC